AUAUUACUCCCUCCGUUCAAAAAAACUUGUCUCAAACUUUUCCAUCCAAUGGAUAUAUCUAGCACCAACUUGGUGCUAAAUACAUCCAUUUGAGGGACAAACUUUUACGGACGGAGGGAGUAAUAU
rfam:Triticum urartu cultivar G1812 contig252845, whole genome shotgun sequence.